UCUCUCCUGCUAGGACUUCCUCCUUGCUCUGGGACUGCAACUUAGAACUAUGUAUGGGCAAUACAACAGAAUGCUGAACCCACUGGCAGAAAAGAGUGUCCUGUAAUCUCGUUUUGGCCAAUUUCCUGAUCGUCUUACCAUCUGUGAGCUGUGAGCUCCAAAAGCUUCUACCAUUACCCUCUAGAACUGCUGCUGGCUUGCCAAGACAGACAGAGUCUGUAUUGGACUAUGUUCCAUUCUCACUCCAGGAGACAGACAUUUCCUGCUGAUGUUCUAAGUUUUGGCCUGAAAAAUUGUUUCAUCCCAUCCUUUUGUUUGCUCUGCUUCUCCAGAAUUCAUUUUGAGUCAUUAUUUUAAAGUUGUUUGAAGGGAGUUGAGAGAGUACAGGAUAAAGAUACUAAUGGAUUGAACCUGGAAUAAAUCUAAAUGAGAGUUACAUUUCGAAGAGAAAAGAUCCUUGGGUACUAAUGAAGGAAAAGAUAUUGGAAAACGAGAUGGGAGUGUGACAUCGUGUUUUGUGGCCCUUAACAGCAAGGUGUUUUUGUUUGGUUGGUUAGUUGGUUUUCUGCCUGAAGGUAAGAGAAAUAAAAGACUAAGAUGACAUGUGCAGGUACUUUUUAAAAUUUUAUUUUAUUUUAUAAUAACUUUAUAUUGACAGAAUCCAUGCCAGGGUAAUUUUUUUUUACAACAUUAUCCCUUGCACUCGCUUCUGUUCCGAUUUUUCCCCUCCCUCUCUCCCUCCCUCCACCCCCUCCCCUAGAUGGCAAGCAGUCCUAUAUAUAUUAGAUAUGAUAUGAUAGAUAGAUAUGUGUGCAGGUACUUUCUAAAUUUGGGGCUCUUUAUGCUUUAUUAGAGGGAGAAAACUGCUGUCCUUGGUGCACCUGAAUACAUGUUUUCAAUCUUUUAUCAUCAAUCUGACUGAAGCUAGAAUCCAUCCCAGAUAUUCACUGGUUCCGAGAUGGAAAGAGACUUCUUCCUUUUAUGCCUCUUUUUCCUCCUUCCCAAUUCUCAGCUCCCUACUUGCUAUCCUGCACUGUUUUUCUGCUCUUUCUCUAACAAGAAAUUCUGAAUUCUGUCAACGCUCCAGCAUGAACUCUUUCAACUAAUCCGACUUGUCCCCUCAUGAAAACUAUUGUACGGUUGUGAAUGCCAAACAAAACGAAAUAGAAGCCGAGUUAGAAAGUUAAGUAUCUGUGCAAAAAACUAAGCUUUGAUACUUUACAUUGCACUGUGGCUGAGGGAUCGAAGGUGCUUGAUCAAAAAACGUCCAGCCUGCUUGUGGCCUUGCAUUGAAAUAUUAUUUUUUUAAAUAACUUUUUAUUGAUAGAACCCAUGCCAGGGUAAUUUUUUACAGCAUUAUCCCUUGCACUCACUUCUGUUCCGAUUUUUCCCCUCCCUUCCUCCACCUCCUCCCCCAGAUGGCAAGCAAUCCUUUUCAUGUGUAGAUAGGUUACAGUAUAUCCUAGAUACAAUAUAUGUGUGCAGAACCGAACAGUUUUCUUGUUGCACAGGGAGAAUUGGAUUCAGAAGGAAUAAAUAACCCGGGAAGAAAAACAAAAAUGCAAGCAGUUUAUAUUCAUUUCCCAGUGUUCUUUCUUUGGGUGUAGCUGCUUCUGUCCAUCCUUGAUCAAUUGAAACUGAGUUAGAUCUCUGUCGAAGAAAUCCACUUCCAUCAGAAUACAUCCUCAUAGAGUAUCGUUGUUGAGGUAUAUAACGAUCUCCUGAUUCUGCUCAUUUCACUUAGCAUCAGUUCAUGUAAGUCUCGCCAGUCCUCUCUGUAUUCAUCCCGCUGGUCAUUUCUUACAGAACAAUAAUAUUCCAUAACGUUCAUAUACCUACAAUUUACUCAACCAUUCUCCAAUUGAUGGGCAUCCAUUCAUUUGGAAUAUUAUCUUAAUUAAGUUUUAGAGUCGAUACUAUUCGAGACUCCUUGGGAUUUUAUCAGUUAAAGUAAACUUCAAUGAAGAUGUCUUCUUCGAGGGAAGGAGGGCUCAUAGUUAUGAAAACUUUCUCGAAACGGGAACGAGUUCAAUAGGCAACACUACAUAUAUACCAUAAAGGUAUAGCACCCUCCAAAAUCAAUAAAGAAAUAAAGGGGGACAGGUGGAUGGAGAAGCAAAGGGUGAGGAAAGAAGACAAGGGAGGGGUCUCUAAAUGAGGAGAGGUUAAGUAAUAAUAGUAAGCCAAGUUAUGGAGCAGAAUUUAAUGAGACAGCAAGGGUAUGAAAGACUUGUGUAUGUGUGGUUUGUGUGUGUGUGUGUAUAUGUAUAUCUACAUAUGUAUACAUAAACAUAUCUCUUAACUGUAGCUUACUUGGGGGGGUGGGAUGAAAGAGAUAUGUCUAUAUGUAUAUAUACAUAUGCAUAUAUAAAUAUAUCCUCUCUUUACUAUGGUCCACUUGGUGGGGGUUGGGGGAGGGAGAGGAUAAAAGAGGGAGAAAAAAAGAACAAAGUAAAUAAGGUGUCCAGGAGAGAACAAAAGAACAAUUUAUAAAGAACUAAAAAACAAGACGGACACUCAUGAAUAUAAUUUCUUCUACUAACAUAUAUACUUUCUUAAAUUAGUAUUUGUUGUUAUAUAUUUUGAAUUUUCAUUGAUGUUCCGCUGGGUACAUGACAAUGUUCUCUUUUGUUUUGUUUCGUAUUGCUUUUCUGUUUUUCUUUUUGCUUAUUCUGUUUUUUCAAAUAAAAUAAAUCUGGAAAUUUGAAAAAAAAAAA